rnacentral:misc_RNA from 1 species
UGAGGUAAAUUUUUGUUCAUUUUGAUAUUAACAGCCUAAAAAUACACAGUUGAGGAAAUCUGAAGAUUUAUUUCUUCCAGAUCCUUCUCGAUCCCCUUGCCAUCUUAAUGGCACCUUUGAUUCCUGCAGGUUGGUCCUUGAAAUUGUUCUAUAUUGGCUGUAGAGUUGGUACAGGUUUUGGUUGUUUGUAAUUGUUACUGUUAUUCAGUUGUAUAUAUGAUUAUUCAAUGAAAUGUAUCAAAUAUUUCAGAUAUGUAAAGCUUUUAUGCGAACAUUGUGCAAAUUGUCAUAGGAAUGUUACAAUUUAUGUCUAUAUUCAACCUGCAGGAAUCAAAGGUGCCAUUAAGAUGGCAAGGGGAUCGAGAAGGAUCU